rnacentral:rRNA from 1 species
CCUACGGGAGGCAGCAGUGGGGAAUAUUGGGCAAUGGGCGCAAGCCUGACCCAGCAACGCCGCGUGAAGGAUGAAGGCUUUCGGGUUGUAAACUUCUUUUGUCAGGGAAGAGUAGAAGACGGUACCUGACGUAUAAGCCAUGGCUAACUACGUGCCAGCAGCCGCGGUAAUACGUAGGUGGCAGGCGUUGUCCGGAUUUACUGGGUGUAAAGGGCGUGUAGCCGGGUUGACAAGUCAGAUGGGAAAUCCUGCGGCUUAACCGCAGAACUGCAUUUGAAACUGUGGAUCUUGAGUACUGGAGAGGCAGACGGAAUUCGUAGUGUAGCGGUGAAAUGCGUAGAUAUUAGGAGGAACACCAGUGGCGAAGGCGGUCUGCUGGACAGCAACUGACGGUGAGGCGCGAAAGCGUGGGGAGCAAACAGGAUUAGAUACCCGGGUAGUC